rnacentral:rRNA from 1 species
GAGUUUGAUCCUGGCUCAGAUUGAACGCUGGCGGCAUGCCUUACACAUGCAAGUCGAGCGGCAGCGCGGGGGCAACCCUGGCGGCGAGCGGCGAACGGGUGAGUAAUGCAUCGGAACGUGUCCUCUUGUGGGGGAUAACCAGUCGAAAGAUUGGCUAAUACCGCAUGAGAUCGAGAGAUGAAAGCGGGGGACCGUAAGGCCUCGCGCGAGAGGAGCGGCCGAUGCCGGAUUAGCUAGUUGGUGGGGUAAAGGCCUACCAAGGCGACGAUCCGUAGCUGGUCUGAGAGGACGACCAGCCACACUGGGACUGAGACACGGCCCAGACUCCUACGGGAGGCAGCAGUGGGGAAUUUUGGACAAUGGGGGCAACCCUGAUCCAGCAAUGCCGCGUGAGUGAUGAAGGCCUUAGGGUUGUAAAGCUCUUUUACCCGGGAUGAUAAUGACAGUACCGGGAGAAUAAGCCCCGGCUAACUCCGUGCCAGCAGCCGCAGUAAC